AAGUUUCCUUACUCUCUCUCUCUACUCUCUCUCUCUCUCUCUCUCUAAACUCUCUCUACUCUCUCUCUCUCUCUAGAUUUCCUCGCCGGUCGUUUAUAGAAUCGGAAAUCUGAGGUUACCACAAGGAUCGUGGAAGGAUUCUCUACAACUUCUGUGGAUUAAAAUCUCGGUUCGAGCAUUUUCAGGUUUCGGGCCAAAAUCGAGCCUGCAAUCUCUCUCUCUCUCGUCACGUUCUCUCUCCCUCUCUCCUCGAUUUCGUGACAGAUUUUCGUUCGAUCGAAAAUCCGAAGAUACCACUGGACUCCAUUCGCUGCUGCCGUCAUUUCUCCGAAGCGGAUCGGUGGUAGGAGCGGCGUAAGCGUAUUUCUUGGGGAGCUCCUGAGAGACUGGCGGGUCAGGGCCGCCGUUGAGCUAGUGAGAUUACCCUGUGAGAAGGGUCUUUCGGGUAGCCGAAACUAGCAUCCUAGCAUCCAGAAACAGGGUGUGUUUAGCUACUGUUAGUACCUAAUAGGUACGAAUUUUGUAACCGGGUUGUCCCGAUGGAUUUUGUAGACACCCGUGGUAUGUAUAGUAUCUUGUGGUUAUGCUUAACCCUAUAUGGUAUAGACUCUGGUAUGGUACAGUUUGAUGUAAAGAAAGACUGUAUUUCGCUGCGUAUAUUGAUAAGUAUGGACAUGUAUUUUAUGUA